AAUGAACGUUGGCGGCGUGGAUUAGGCAUGCAAGUCGAACGAGAUCUGUAGCAAUACAGUGAAAGUGGCGAAAGGGAGAGUAAUACGUAGGUACCUGCCCUCGGGUCUGGGAUAGCUGCGGGAAACUGCAAUUAAUACCGGAUGAUGUCUCUGGACCAAAGGUGUGAUUCCGCCAGGGGAUGGGCCUGCGUCCUAUCAGCUUGUUGGUGUGGUAACGGCGCACCAAGGCUAAGACGGGUACGGGGUGUGAGAGCAUGCCCCCGCUCACUGGGACUGAGAUACUGCCCAGACACCUACGGGUGGCUGCAGUCGAGAAUCUUCCGCAAUGGGCGCAAGCCUGACGGAGCGACGCCGCGUGUGGGAUGAAGGCCUUCGGGUUGUAAACCACUGUCAGUGGGGAGCAAAUGCAUCAGGGUUCUCCCUGGUGUUUGAGCGAUCCGCAGAGGAAGCACAGGCUAAUUCCGUGCCAGCAGCCGCCGUAA
rnacentral:rRNA from 1 species